rnacentral:lncRNA from 1 species
UGCCUACGUCUCCAAAUCUCCUUAAUGCCAAAGGCAGUAAUGGGCGUGUGCUGUGCCUGCCUAAUGAGCUGUAAAACGAACCAGUGGGUGAUUUGUUUCUUGCCGUCAAGACCCUGGUUAAGUAACAGCCAGGACGACGGAAGGAAGGCCGGGCGUCCUGUCCCCCGGACAGCACUCUGGACAUCAGGCUCUCUGAUCACAAUCAAUUCAAAGAUCUACAUUCCCUUGAAGUGCUCACGGGGCCGUAUCCUGCGUGGUUUCCGUCUUAGUGUACGUGGAACGUCAGCACUGUCUUCUCGAGAUCUGUCAUUUUGAAAUUGUCAUUGCCAAUAAUUGUACGUAUUGCGACAAUUUCCUAAGUCACGAUUCACCGUCCGUCCUUCAAAUGCUGGAGACGCUCUCUUGUUUCCCAGUUUAAACACGUUGACAGGCAACACCACAAACGUCUUUAGAAAUGGAAGUUUGUCUUCUUUUUCUUGUUAUUUUUGUCACUUGUUUCUUCUAUCAAAUAACAGCCUUGUUGGGUUGGUGAGAGGGAACCACUUGUGGGUCUUGAUUUCCGAAGAUGCAGGGCAGAUUUGCAAGGCCACAAGCACCUGCUUCAGGUGAGACGUUUGGGGUCUCUCAGGAGGGCGAGAGACAGAGCGGGGGACUCUGCCGAAGGAUUUUCCAUAAACGGAACGUGGACAGGUCCUGUAGGUGGGUCCUCCCUUUGGUCUCAGCAUCAUGGCUGAGACGAGUCCAGUCAUAGCUACGUCAGAGUGGCAGGGUCCUUGCUUCUCACUGCUGUCCAGGUUCUCCUGUGCGUACCCCACAGGCUGUGCACCCACCGUGCCAUCAGUGGGCAUCUGGGGCGCAUGGUAGACCACGUGCAGGUCAGCCCGCGUGAGCCCGUGUCCUGGUGUCCGCCCCGUGCAGUCCGUCCCUGGGGUGGCCUGAGGCUGCCUUGCCUCCCUUGGGCUGAGGCUGGAACAACUGCGGCCUCUCUUACCUUCCUGCUGGCGUCCUCUGGGGAGUAUCCAGAAGUGAGGGAUGGUGAUGGCAGCCCCAGGAGAUAAUCCCACCAGCAGCCACGUGAGUGAGCUUGGAGACCACGCAGCCGAGAGAGGCCACCCGGCA